rnacentral:rRNA from 1 species
CGGCCGCGGUAUUUUGACCGUGCAAAGGUAGCGUAAUCACUUGUCUUUUAAAUGAAGACCCGUAUGAAUGGCAAAACGAGGGCCAAGCUGUCUCCUUUUCCAAGUCAAUGAAAUUGAUCUCCCUGUGCAGAAGCAGGGAUAACCACAUAAGACGAGAAGACCCCAUGGAGCUUAAGACAAACAGCAGCUUAUGUAAAACAUCUUAAUUACAAGAACUAACAAAGUAAAACCUGCUUUUAGUCUUUGGUUGGGGCGACCGUGGAGAAACAAAAAUCCCCCAUGUGGAAAAAUAGCUAUACUAUUCUAAAAUAGAGUCACCUCUCUAAUUUUCAGAACAUCUGACCAAGAAGAUCCGGCAAAGCCGAUCAACGGACAAAGUUACCCUGGGGAUAACAGCGCAAUCCUCUUUUAGAGCCCAUAUCGACAAGAGGGUUUACGACCUCGAUGUUGGAUCAGGACAUCCUAAUGGUGCAGCCGCUAUUA